CAAAAACUAAUAAUAAUAAUAGUAAUAAUAAAACAGUGAUUUGCUGAAUGAAUGACAGAAGGAAGGCAUGAGUCUUCAGACCGAAAGGCUUAAGGGUGCCAACAACAUUAAAAUUUGGCUUAAUCACUUUGGAAAACUCUUCAGUAAUAUCUAUGAAAGCUGCGCAUGCCAGGGUCUAUACCCAGGAGUAGUGAACAUGUGUGGCCACCAAAUACAUGUGCGAGAAUAGUCCUGGCAGCUUUAUUAGUAAAAGCCAAAGCUGGAGGUAACUCCAAUGUCCAACAACAACAAAAAACGAAGAAUGGAUAAGCCGCUUAUGCUAUCUCCUUACACUGCAAUGGUGGGUGGUAAUAAAAAAUGAAUUACUGCCACCCACAGAACAUUUUUAUUUUCUGUGUCUGAUGCUUUUAUUUUCUGUGUCCUGGGGCCUAGCUGACCCUAGAGAGGCUGCCCCUCCUAGGACUAGAGAUUCCUUCUCAGAUGCCAGUGACCACCUCACAGCCCACAGCCCACUACCUCCUCUGUCUCUCACACUCAGGGCCAAUAUUCCCCUGCCCUGAUCACACCAGGGCCAGGUAUCAGACAACUCCGGACAGCCCCUCUGUCCCAGAGCCCUGAAAUUACUCAAACCAGCCAGUCCAAAGCCUGCUCACCCUGCCUUGACUGUUUCUUCCCACAGAAACCCCAAUAAAGGCUCUUGCUCACGUUUCCCUCUCCUCCCCCUGACUUCAGCAGACCCCAGCGUUCGCCCGUGUGUCCCCGACCCGCGCCGUGUGGCGCAGCCCCUGCUCUUGAGAACUGUGAGUGACAAACCAUCUUUUCAACGGCAACAUCCCCUGAUUUGUGGGCCUCACUACACCUGCCUGCAUUUCAAGCAGUGGGCGCAGCUAGCAGGGUGGAGUGAGGCGCCACUGCGCUGCUCUCGGUAACUGGUUCCACCGGGCGGCCGCGGACGGGCGGUGCCCCCGCCUGCGCCGCCUGGUGCUGCUGCUGUGGACGCCUCUCCGCUCCGAACUCAGGACCUGGGUCCUCUGAGCUCUGAUCUGAGCUGUGCCUGCCUCCUUCCGGGCUGGCUGGCCAGGUUCCCCAAGGCUCCUCCAAAGGGAGCCACGGGAGGGACUUCCUCCUAGUGUUUGGGGGUGCCCCGCAGGCGGCCCUGCUAAGUGGGGGCAAACAGAGCUGCUGUUUGGGGGGCUUUUCAGCCUGUCUGGGGGAGUGGGGGGAGCCUGCCCGGGGCUGUGGGGGAGCCUGCCCGGGGCUGUGGGGGAGCCUGCCCGGGGCUGUGGGGGGAGCCUGCCCGGGGCUGUGGGGGAGGCUGCUCUUCACUCUCAGGAGCUCAGUGUGAGGACCCCCGCCCCCACAGGGACCUAGUGGGCAGGAGGCGCCCUACCCUCAGGACCAGGGGCACAAUGUUUCAUAGAAGAACAGAGCACUCUAUCCCUGCCCUUCCUGAGACCCCGGAGGAGGUCGCCAGUGGAUUCGGGAGCAUGAAAUGCUCCGGUGAUGCCGCGUGGGUCUCCCUGAGCACGAGCUUACCAGGGGGCCGCGCUCAAAGCAGCCUCAAAAAUACCGACAGGGUCAUUCUCCCGCAGCGGCUGCAGAGCCCUCGGAGGUCGGGUAAGACGCCACCUAAAGACAGGGCCAUGAGGGGUCAGCAGGACUUUAUCUGAUAAACACCGGAAAGACAGAAUGGGGAACAGAAAUCAAAAGGAAAAAUGUUACCCACCUCGAGAUCCAAGCCAUUCUAACAGGCUUUGCUUAAAAAAGAAGGAAGUCCGGGCGCCGUGGCAUUAAAAUUAACUCCACCCCAGUCAACAACCAUGAAGUAUUUUGCGCUGACAGCUUUGGCUACUACAUUAUAUUUGAUGCCUGUUUCAACAGGCUUUCAGCCACAGUUUGCCUCUGCCUCCAGAGGGACACACUGCAGCUGGACCAGGCUGCCCUGGGGGACCCCCACAGCUCUGCCAGGGCACACUGUUAUGCAGACAAUACUUCCCUACAUCCACCUGCUCCAGGGGCACUGGCCUGGCAUGACACUGAUAGCAAAAGACGUUGGACGUGGCAAAAGAUGUUGGCAUGAUAUUGAUGGGAAGAUGUUGGCAUGACAUUGAUGGGAAGAUGUUGGCAUGACAUUGAUGGGAAGAGAUGUUGACAUGACAUUGAUGGGAAGAGAUGUUGGCAUGACAUUGAUUGGAAGAGAUGUUGGCAUGACACUGAUGGGAAGAAGAUGUUGGCAUGGCAUUGAUGAGAAGAGAUGUUGGCAUGACACUGAUGGCAAAACAUGUUGGACAUCCAAGUCCAACAUCUUUUAGUUCUCUUUGGGUUCUGAUGGCAAUACAUUCAUCAUUUACAAAUUUUUACUUAUGCUACUGAUGCUGCUACUUAUACGGUGGCCCACGUGAAGCAGGACUCCCUCACACAAAAGGCUCUAAAUCCGUUCAAGUAAAAAUCAGCAGGCACUCCUGUUAGAGCCCUCGGAGACUCCUGCACUGUGGAUGGGCUUUGGCAACCCCUCGCAGGCCCCCUGCAGUCUCUGGACCACCUAGCAUGGCCAUUAGUUGCUCAAGGUUUGAUAAUGCAAGACACCGCUUCUCUUAACAAAAUUGCUGGGCUGAGCGCGAUGGCACAUGCCUGCAGUCCCAGCUACUGGGGAAGCUGAGGUGGGAGGAUCGCUUGUGCCUGAGAGGUCGAGACUGCGGUGAGCCGUGGUCGCACCACUGCGCUAUACCCAGCUGCCCAUUUUGCUUUGGGUCAUGGCAGCAGCACCCCCACAAACUUGGUGUGGCUACCAAGGCCUUUAUAAGACGCAAAGGAACCAAACCUGAGCCCUCUGGCGUAUUCCUCCUGCAGGAGGAAAUCCUCCCAACUCCCUUGUAGGUGCUGAAGGAACUCACCUUCUCUCAGACCUCGUGGCUACCUGGAGAGCCCCUGGGAUUAGCUGAGUGAACACAGAUGGUAGGAACCACACUGCCAACCAUUGUAAGAAUGAGGAAGCUCAGUGGAUGAUGGCUGCUUUCCAUCUCUCAGUCAGAAUGUCCCCAGUGAAGGACAGGACUCAAGGGUCAACACAAUUGGCCAAACUCCAGGCAGUCACCUUAGUACUGGCUGCCUGACUGACACAGGGCCGCAUCUUCAUAUUUGUUACAAACUAUGGUGCCACUGGCUGAGUUGUCCCUUUGAGGGUCAAGGACUCUGGGACUCUUGCCUCACAGAGACCCAAACUUAAAUCAAAACCAGAGGGCUGGGCAUGGUGGCUCACACCUGUAAUCCCAGCAUUUUGGGAGGCCGAGGCGGGUGGAUCACCUAAGGU
rnacentral:lncRNA from 10 species